rnacentral:rRNA from 1 species
UACGUAGGGUGCGAGCGUUAAUCGGAAUUACUGGGCGUAAAGCGUGCGCAGGCGGUUGUGCAAGACAGAUGUGAAAUCCCCGGGCUUAACCUGGGAACUGCAUUUGUGACUGCACGGCUAGAGUGUGUCAGAGGGGGGUAGAAUUCCAUGUGUAGCAGUGAAAUGCGUAGAUAUGUGGAGGAAUACCGAUGGCGAAGGCAGCCCCCUGGGAUAACACUGACGCUCAUGCACGAAAGCGUGGGGAGCAAGCAGG